GCACACCCGAGCCUGAGACAACAGCUCUGCUAAGUGCCCUUGAGAGGGCACGGUGGGGUCAGCACCAAAGCCAGACCACUAAAGAGAAAAAGAAAGGAAGAGAGGAUUGCAGAGGAGAAAUGAGAACGGCAGAAAAAAAUAAUUUUUUAAGCCAAAAGGAAUCAGAGAAGAGCAGAAGUGCCUCUAGGAUAAAGCGUAGCAGGCAGUUAGGGAAAAAGAGCUGUUAACUACUUUGAAGCUCUGACUACAUUAGAAGGCCUCGCAAGACAGUCGUGGCUUGCACGGGCAGGUAGAGAACUUUUCCUGUCCAUUGUUCUUCUGAAUUAUAAAUCACUGACCUCUUUACGAUUUCUAAAGAGAAAAUGACUUCAAACUUCUUAGAGUUCCCUAAGGCAUUCUCUAUAUUCAAUAUAAUAUGGGAAGCCCUGGGUUUGUCUUUGUACAUUUCAUCUGCGACCUGAAAUCUUCAUAACCCUCUUCCUUUCUCUACUUAUCAAGUAAGGGGUGGUUGGCAAUAAGGAUGGGUGGGAGAGAAAAAAACCCAGACUUUGAGGAGGAGAGCAUUUAAACCAUCAGCCUGUGUGUUCUGUGACAUCGAAGACUGGCAACAUUCUAAAGGUAAAUCAGCUGUGAAGUCAUAAUUAUGUUCACUUCCCACUGGCAACUGGCAAGCCCUUUAUUUUUGUGCAUUUGGAACUCACCAAGAAUAAAUAAAGUCCAUUCCCUCCUUGA